GACGAAGGCUGGCGGCGUGCUUAACACAUGCAAGUCGAACGGAAAGGCCCUGCUUAUGUGGGGUGCUCGAGUGGCGAACGGGUGAGUAACACGUGAGUAACCUGCCCUUGACUUUGGGAUAACUUCAGGAAACUGGGGCUAAUACCGGAUAGGAGCUCCUGCUGCAUGGUGGGGGUUGGAAAGUUUCGGCGGUUGGGGAUGGACUCGCGGCUUAUCAGCUUGUUGGUGGGGUAGUGGCUUACCAAGGCUUUGACGGGUAGCCGGCCUGAGAGGGUGACCGGCCACAUUGGGACUGAGAUACGGCCCAGACUCCUACGGGAGGCAGCAGUGGGGAAUAUUGCACAAUGGGCGGAAGCCUGAUGCAGCAACGCCGCGUGCGGGAUGACGGCCUUCGGGUUGUAAACCGCUUUCGCCUGUGACGAAGCGUGAGUGACGGUAAUGGGUAAAGAAGCACCGGCUAACUACGUG
rnacentral:rRNA from 1 species